GAUGAACGCUGGCGGCGUGCCUAAUACAUGCAAGUCGAGCGAACGGACGAGAAGCUUGCUUCUCUGAUGUUAGCGGCGGACGGGUGAGUAACACGUGGAUAACCUACCUAUAAGACUGGGAUAACUUCGGGAAACCGGAGCUAAUACCGGAUAAUAUUUUGAACCGCAUGGUUCAAAAGUGAAAGACGGUCUUGCUGUCACUUAUAGAUGGAUCCGCGCUGCAUUAGCUAGUUGGUAAGGUAACGGCUUACCAAGGCAACGAUGCAUAGCCGACCUGAGAGGGGGACAGGCCAAACGGGAACGAGAACAGGGUCCAAACACCAAGGGGGGGCAGCAGUAGGGAAUUUUCCGCAAUGGGGGAAAGCCGGAAGGGGAAACGCCGGGGGGGGAAUAAAGGGUUGGGGAUCGAAAAACCUUUUUAUGGGGGAAAAAAAUAGGGGAAAUUAACUGGGAACAUCUGAAGGGUAACAAAGAAAAAAGCCACGGCUAACUAGGU
rnacentral:rRNA from 1 species